AGAGUUUGAUCCUGGCUCAGAAUCAACGCUGGCGGCGUGCCUAACACAUGCAAGUCGAACGCGAAAGGGGAGCAAUCCCUGAGUAGAGUGGCAAACGGGUGAGUAACACGUGGGUGACCUGCCUUCGAGUGGGGGAUAACGUCCCGAAAGGGACGCUAAUACCGCAUGACAUCCUGCUUUUGGAAAAGCGGAGAUCAAAGCCGGGGAUCGCAAGACCUGGCGCUUGAAGAGGGGCCCGCGCCUGAUUAGCUAGUUGGUGGGGUAAUGGCUCACCAAGGCGACGAUCAGUAUCCGGCCUGAGAGGGCGGACGGACACACUGGGACUGAGACACGGCCCAGACUCCUACGGGAGGCAGCAGUGGGGAAUCUUGCGCAAUGCGCGAAAGCGUGACGCAGCAACGCCGCGUGGAGGAAGACGGUCUUCGGAUUGUAAACUCCUUUCAGUUGGGACGAAGCUCAACGGGUUAAUAGCCCGGUGGAGUGACGGUACCUUCAGAAGAAGCCCCGGCUAACUACGUGCCAGCAGCGGCGGUAAUAC
rnacentral:rRNA from 1 species